AAUAAUAUUGAAAUUAUAAUUAAAGCUAAUAUUUUACUCACAGACUUGAACCAAGGUUAUUGCGGCUGCUGGGUGGAGGAGGAAGGCUGUCCUAACUCACCUGACAAUUUCAUUACAAUUAUUUAAUACCAUUGACUCAAUACAAGCUUAAAAAAGGAUCAAAGACACCCUAAGUCGUGCUGAAAAUCCGGCAGAGUCUUCCUUAUACCUAGGACCUACCCAACCUGCAAAAGGGCUCAAAAUACACUUUUAUAUCUACAAGUCAUACAACCACAACUCAAUCACAUCACAUGGUCCAUCCUGGGUCCAUCCAAACAGUCAACCACCAAUAUUUGAAAAAUUACCAUUUAGUCCCUAUAACUAACCCUUUUGCAAAAACUACCCAAUAUCAUUAAGCUAAUGCAAAAGGAAUUA
rnacentral:misc_RNA from 1 species